rnacentral:sRNA from 1 species
CUGGCAGCGCAGGAGACAGAAGUCCUCUCUUUAUCCAGAGAAGAGGUACAUCACUAGCAGUUGUGGUGCAAGCUUCCCCAUGUACUUCAGCCCUUAUCUGAAGGAACCAUUUUUGGGGAUAGUGGGUAACUCAGUUUCCAUGGCUGAUCCAAGCCUUGCAGGCU